rnacentral:rRNA from 1 species
GCAGCCAGUACCGGAAUCCGACACAGGUAGACGGGAUGAGUAUUCUAACGCGCUCGGGUGAGCCGUGGAGAAGGAACUAGGCAAAUUGACGCUGUAACUUCGGGAUAAAGCGUACCCCGCUGCAAAGCGGGGUCACAGUAAAAUGGUUCAACCAACUGUUUAACAAAAACACAGGGCCCUGCAAAAACGUAAGUUGACGUAUAGAGCCUGAAACCUGCCCGGUGCUGGAAGGUUAAGGAAGGGUGUUCGGCGUAAGCCAAAGCUCCUGACU